AGGGGAGUCGUCCAAUGGCUAGGAUAACGGUCUCCAACACCGCGGAUUGGGGUUCGAGUCCCUGCUCCCCUGCCA
rnacentral:tRNA from 1 species